UACGUAGGGACCAAGCGUUGUUCGGAUUUACUGGGCGUAAAGGGCGCGUAGGCGGCUUAACAAGUCACUUGUGAAAUCUCCGGGCUUAACUCGGAACGGCCAAGUGAAACUGUCAAGCUAGAGUGCAGAAGGGGCAAUCGGAAUUCUUGGUGUAGCGGUGAAAUGCGUAGAUAUCAAGAAGAACACCUGAGGUGAAGACGGGUUGCUGGGCUGACACUGACGCUGAGGCGCGAAAGCCAGGGGAGCAAACGGG
rnacentral:rRNA from 1 species